rnacentral:rRNA from 1 species
AGAAUCAACGCUGGCGGCGUGCCUAACACAUGCAAGUCGAACGAGAAAGUGGAGCAAUCCAUGAGUAAAGUGGCGCACGGGUGAGUAACACGUGACUAACCUACCCUUGAGUGGGGAAUAACUGAGGGAAACCUUGGCUAAUACCGCAUAAUACCUACGGGUCAAAGGAGCAAUUCGCUUAAGGAGGGGGUCGCGGCAGAUUAGCUAGUUGGCGGGGUAAUGGCCCACCAAGGCAGUGAUCUGUA